AUAUCGGUCGGUCGUUGCACACGUACUGAAAAAAUAAAUUUAUCAUACAGCGCUUGUUAUUUUCUUCAACAUUUGUGACAUCUUCAAAUCCUUCUAUUUGUUUUCGAUUUCCUUUUAUAAAUUCGAUUUUAAAAUAUUGAUCUUUACUAUACUGGUAUGACGCAAUGAAUUUUGGUUCCAAUAAUCUUGAAUAUUUAUUUAUUUCUUUUUUGUUUCGUGUGCUGCAUAAUUAUGGUUUCUUAAAACUAUUGAUGUAUUCAAAAGAGUGCCCAGAUUAACCAUUUCUUGCGGCAUACAGUUAGUUUGAAUAUUGUUUUUUGAACGUACAUCUCGAUCAACAGAUUUAUCAGUGUUUUCCUUGUUUUGUUCUGUAACCGUACAACCAGUUUUUUCGACGUUUGUUCUGCAGUUUCAGACAACAACAUUGUUUUUACUUACUAUUCUAGUCCCGAUAACCGACGAAGAAGUUGCAGCUCCGUUAUUUUUAUUAGAAUACGUGCUAGCGACAUUUGAUGGCUGGCGACAAGACAAAAACUGAAA